rnacentral:rRNA from 1 species
AGAGUUUGAUCCUGGCUCAGGACGAACGCUGGCGGCACGCUUAACACAUGCAAGUCGAACGAGAGAAGAGGAGCUUGCUUUUCUGAUCUAGUGGCGGACGGGUGAGUAACACGUGAGCAAUCUGCCUUUCAGAGGGGGAUACCGAUUGGAAACGAUCGUUAAUACCGCAUAACAUAAUUGAACCGCAUGAUUUGAUUAUCAAAGAUUUAUCGCUGAAAGAUGAGCUCGCGUCUGAUUAGCUAGUUGGUAAGGUAACGGCUUACCAAGGCGACGAUCAGUAGCCGGACUGAGAGGUUGAUCGGCCACAUUGGGACUGAGACACGGCCCAGACUCCUACGGGAGGCAGCAGUGGGGAAUAUUGCACAAUGGAGGAAACUCUGUUGCAGCGAUGCCGCGUGAGGGAAGAAGGUUUUAGGAUUGUAAACCUCUGUCUUCAGGGACGAAAAAAGACGGUACCUGAGGAGGAAGCUCCGGCUAACUACGUGCCAGCAGCCGCGGUAAUACGUAGGGAGCGAGCGUUGUCCGGAAUUACUGGGUGUAAAGGGAGCGUAGGCGGGAUCGCAAGUCAGAUGUGAAAACUAUGGGCUUAACCCAUAAACUGCAUUUGAAACUGUGGUUCUUGAGUGAAGUAGAGGUAAGCGGAAUUCCUAGUGUAGCGGUGAAAUGCGUAGAUAUUAGGAGGAACAUCAGUGGCGAAGGCGGCUUACUGGGCUUUAACUGACGCUGAGGCUCGAAAGCGUGGGGAGCAAACAGGAUUAGAUACCCUGGUAGUCCACGCCGUAAACGAUGAUUACUAGGUGUGGGGGGACUGACCCCUUCCGUGCCGCAGCAAACGCAAUAAGUAAUCCACCUGGGGAGUACGACCGCAAGGUUGAAACUCAAAGGAAUUGACGGGGGCCCGCACAAGCAGUGGAGUAUGUGGAUUAAUUCGAAGCAACGCGAAGAACCUUACCAGGUCUUGACAUCGUAUGCAUAGCUCAGAGAUGAGUGAAAUCUCUUCGGAGACAUAUAGACAGGUGGUGCAUGGUUGUCGUCAGCUCGUGUCGUGAGAUGUUGGGUUAAGUCCCGCAACGAGCGCAACCCUUACUGUUAGUUGCUACGCAAGAGCACUCUAGCAGGACUGCCGUUGACAAAACGGAGGAAGGUGGGGAUGACGUCAAAUCAUCAUGCCCCUUAUGACCUGGGCCUCACACGUACUACAAUGGCUGUCAACAGAGGGAAGCAAAGCCGCGAGGUGGAGCGAACCCCUAAAAGCAGUCUUAGUUCGGAUUGUAGGCUGCAACCCGCCUACAUGAAGUCGGAAUUGCUAGUAAUCGCAGAUCAGCAUGCUGCGGUGAAUACGUUCCCGGGCCUUGUACACACCGCCCGUCACGCCAUGGGAGUCGGUAACACCCGAAGCCUGUAGUCUAACCGCAAGGAGGACGCAGUCGAAGGUGGGAUUGAUGACUGGGGUGAAGUCGUAACAAGGUA